rnacentral:rRNA from 1 species
ACACUCCUGCGGGAGGCAGCAGUGGGGAAUAUUGCACAAUGGGCGCAAGCCUGAUGCAGCGACGCCGCGUGGGGGAUGAAGGCCUUCGGGUUGUAAACUCCUUUCGCUAGGGACGAAGCUUUUUUGUGACGGUACCUAGAUAAGAAGCACCGGCUAACUACGUGCCAGCAGCCGCGGUAAUACGUAGGGUGCGAGCGUUGUCCGGAAUUACUGGGCGUAAAGGGCUCGUAGGUGGUUUGUCGCGUCGUCUGUGAAAUUCUGGGGCUUAACUCCGGGCGUGCAGGCGAUACGGGCAUAACUUGAGUGCUGUAGGGGUAACUGGAAUUCCUGGUGUAGCGGUGAAAUGCGCAGAUAUCAGGAGGAACACCGAUGGCGAAGGCAGGUUACUGGGCAGUUACUGACGCUGAGGAGCGAAAGCAUGGGUAGCGAACAGGAUUAGAUACCCUGGUAGUCCCA